AACGAACGCUGGCGGCAGGCUUAACACAUGCAAGUCGAACGCAUCCUUCGGGGUGAGUGGUAGACGGGUGAGUAACGCGUGGGAACGUGCCCUUCAGUUCGGGAUAACCCAGGGAAACUUGGGCUAAUACCGGAUACGUGCGAGAGCAGAAAGAUUUAUCGCUGAAGGAUCGGCCCGCGUCUGGUUAGCUAGUUGGUGGGGUAAUGGCCCACCAAGGCGACGAUCAGUAGCUGGUCUGAGAGGAUGAUCAGCCACAUUGGGACUGAGACACGGACCAAACUCCUACGGGAGGCAGCAGUGGGGAAUAUUGGACAAUGGGCGCAAGCCUGAUCCAGCCAUGCCGCGUGAGUGAUGAAGGCCUUAGGGUUGUAAAGCUCUUUCGUCCGGGACGAUAAUGUCGGUACCGGAAGAAGAAGCCCCGGCUAACUUCGUGCCAGCCGCCGCGGUAAAAC
rnacentral:rRNA from 1 species